GGACAUUGCCAGCACCCAGGCGCUCGGAAUUCUCUCGGCAGAGGGAACCCAGUCCUGACUUUCUGGGGAUUAUCCCUUCCUUGCCUUUUGUCUGUGAUUUUUACCUUCAAAACAUAUGUCCCACAAAAACUCUAGCGUCUGUAGUUUCAUUUUGCCUGUUUUGUAAUCUUUAUAUGAAUACAAAUGCAGUAUAUUAUAGUCCUCCAUUGUAUAAAAUCCCACAAUUUAGUGUUCCCUUAUUGGUAGGCAUUUGAAUUGUUUCACGCUUUUGGCUAUGAAUAAUAACACUGCUGUGAAUACUCUUCUGGGUCUCUUCGAGCAUUCAUUUCUGUUGGGUGUAUACCCAGCAGUGGGACUUCUAGAUCCAAAGAUAGCCAUAUCUUCAACCUUAAGAGAAUAAUAGCAAGUUUCUAAAGUGUUUGUACCAAUUGACACUCCUACCAGCAAGUGCGUAAGCGUUCUUAUGCUCCACAUCCUUGCCAACACUUGGCAUUGUCAGUCUUACAUUUUAGCCAACUUGGUGAUUGUUGCAGAGGUAUCCCGUUGUUUUGACUUGCAAUUCAUGACUGAUGAGGUUGAGUUACUUUUCAUGUUUAUUUAGUGUCCUCUCGUAUGAAGUGCCUGUUGAGAAGUGUUUUCUUUUGGGGUUGACAUGCCUUCCUAAUUUGUAGGAGUUCUGUUUCAAAGUCAAGAAGAUACUUUCCUGUAACAUCUUCUAGAAAUCUUACUGUUUCGCCUUGCAAAUUCAUAUCUACAGUCCACUUGGAGUGACUUUUGUGCAACUUGUAAAAAGGGGUCAAAUUUCAUGUUUACCAGAAUCAUUUAUUCAGCUCUGUUGAUCAAAACAGUCAUUCGUUAACCACUGUGCCACAGUGGGAUCUCCUAGUAUGAUUUAUUUUUUUUUGGCUGCGUUGACGCAUGUGGAAGUUCCUAGGCCAGGGAUGAAAUCUGAGCUGCACCUGUGACCUACACCAUGGCCGGGGCAAUGCUGGACCCUUAACCCACUGCACCACAGCAGUAACUCCAUUUUUUUAACCUUAUAAUUGAGGUGCUUAGGACUUGUUGAAUCUUUGGCUUCAUGUCUUUCAUUAGCUUGGGAAGUCAUCAGCUGUUGGUACUUCAAAUAUUGCUUCUGUUCCAUUCUCCUUCACCUUUCCUUCUGGGACUGCCUUAUAAAUGUUGGGAGAUUUCACUGUAUCUUUUGUGUCUCUUAACCUUCCUUCUGUGUUUUCUAU
ensembl:lncRNA